CUGGGAGGUGUAAUGUACCUAUUGAUCUGUGAAGUGAUGGAGAACGACACUCUCUGGACUGUAGAGAAAGGCUAUCAUUAAGAUACACUACAAUAUGUAUUUGUCUGGCUGGCUUUGAUUCCAAGGAAAUCCACAUUUACACAAUCAUUGUAUAUAAUUUGCCACAUGCGAAUCAUGUGUAAAUAACGUGAGGCAGAUCGGUUGUGGUUUCUGUUGAUUUCUGUUUACGUCUGUCGUGUUCAUUUAACCAACAUGCUGACUGUAGGGCAUAGUUAAGAUCUCAUUUAGAGAAGAAGGUUGACAUUUCCUAACGGAACGAGCAUCACAUCACCACAAAUCUCCCGGUAAUCUGCGGGUUCAGACGGAAGGUUGUGACGGAAUGUUCGAGAAGGAUCCGGAACAGGAGAAGAGAUCCACGUCCGCCGAAUACAACAGGUGUAGAACUUACAGGGAAAUGCUUACCUACAAGCCAAUUAACCAACAAUGCAGUUUUAAGAAAAAUACCUAACCUAACAAAAUAAUAAAUAAAAGUAACAAAUAAUACAAGAGCAGCAGUAAAAUAACAAAAGCGAGGCUAUGGGUGUUAUUAUGGUGUUAUUAUGAGCAGUGUUUACUGUCUGAGUGGUGUUAUUAUGAGGAGUGUUUACUGUCUGAGUGGUGUUAUUAUGAGGAGGUGAGGAGUGUUUACUGUCUGAGUGGUGUUAUUAUGAGGAGGUGAGGAGUGUUUACUGUCUGAGUGGUGUUAUUAUGAGGAGGUGAGGAGUGUUUACAGUCUGAGUGGUGUUAUUAUGAGGAGUGUUUACUGUCUGAGUGGUGUUAUUAUGAGGAGGUGAGGAGUGUUUACUGUCUGAGUGGUGUUAUUAUGAGGAGGUGGGGAGUGUUUACUGUCUGAGUGGUGUUAUUAUGAGGAGGUGAGGAGUGUUUACUGUCUGAGUGGUGUUAUUGUGAGGAGUGUUUACUGUCUGAGUGGUGUUAUUAUGAGGAGGUGAGGAGUGUUUACUGUCUGAGUGGUGUUAUUAUGAGGAGGUGAGGAGUGUUUACUGUCUGAGUGGUGUUAUUAUGAGGAGGUGAGGAGUGUUUACAGUCUGAGUGGUGUUAUUAUGAGGAGGUGAGGAGUGUUUACUGUCUGAGUGGUGUUAUUAUGAGGAGUGUUUACAGUCUGAGUGGUGUUAUUAUGAGGAGGUGAGGAGUGUUUACUGUCUGAGUGGUGUUAUUAUGAGGAGUGUUUACAGUCUGAGUGGUGUUAUUAUGAGGAGGUGAGGAGUGUUUACUGUCUGAGUGGUGUUAUUAUGAGGAGUGUUUACAGUCUGAGUGGUGUUAUUAUGAGGAGGUGAGGAGUGUUUACUGUCUGAGUGGUGUUAUUAUGAGGAGUGUUUACAGUCUGAGUGGUGUUAUUAUGAGGAGUGUUUACUGUCUGAGUGGUGUUAUUAUGAGGAGUGUUUACUGUCUGAGUGGUGUUAUUAUGAGGAGGCGAGGAGUGUUUACUGUCUGAGUGGUGUUAUUAUGAGGAGUGUUUACUGUCUGAGUGGUGUUAUUAUGAGGAGGUGAGGAGUGUUUACUGUCUGAGUGGUGUUAUUAUGAGGAGGUGAGGAGUGUUUACUGUCUGAGUGGUGCUUCCAACACUUUUUAAACAUUGUAUUUUUGAGCUACAGACUCACUUUUCCAUUGGAUUCAUCUAUUUCUUCUGCAUCCCAGUCACCAAACAUUAGCCUGUGUGAUUAACGGUGGCUGAAGUGAAGACAGAACGGUUCCAGGUCCAAACUAUUAAUCCCAGCUGUGAACUGCUCUAUGGUUCUCACAAGCCACAGUAGAGUCAUUAGAAGGUCAAAGGGUCUUCGACAUAGAGGAUCAUGGGAGAUCAAGCCACAGUAGAGUCAUUAGAAGGUCAAAGGGUCUUCUACAUAGAGGAUCAUGGGAGAUCAAGCCACAGUAGAGUCAUUAGAAGGUCAAAGGUUAUUCUACAUAGAGGAUCAUGGGAGAUCAAGCCACAGUAGAGUCAUUAGAAGGUCAAAGGUUAUUCUCAUGGGAGAUCAAGCCACAGUAGAGUCAUUAGAAGGUCAAAGGUUAUUCUCAUGGGAGAUCAAGCCACAGUAGAGUCAUUAGGAGAUCCCAGGUCAUAGUGUCUAUAAUACUGUAAUAAGCUCACAUAGUUGCUA
rnacentral:lncRNA from 1 species